rnacentral:rRNA from 1 species
AGAGUUUGAUCCUGGCUCAGGACGAACGCUGGCGGCGUGGAUUAGGCAUGCAAGUCGAACGGUAGGAACCUUUCGGGGUUCUGAGAGUGGCGAACGGGUGAGUAACACGUAGGUGAUCUACCCUCAAAUCGGGGACAACCCAGGGAAACUUGGGCUAAUACCGGAUGAGUGCAUCAGAGAUGGUGUAUAAAAGGUGGCGUAAGCUGCCGUUUGGGGAUGAGCCUGCGCCCUAUUAGUUAGUUGGUGAGGUAAUGGCUCACCAAGGCGAUGAUAGGUAGGCGGCCUUAACGGGUGGUCGCCCACACUGGGAUUGAGAUACGGCCCAGACUCUUACGGGAGGCAGCAGUCGAGAAUAGUCUACAAUGGACGAAAGUCUGAUAGUGCGACGCCGCGUGAACGAAGAAGCCCUUCGGGGUGUAGAGUUCUUUUAUAUGUGAGCAAUGCUUCUUAGGUGAAUAGUCUGAGGAGAGAGAUAUUAGCAUAUGAAUAAGCAACGGCUAACUCCGUGCAGCAGCCGCGGUAACACGGGGGUUGCGAGCGUUGUCCGGAAUUACUAGGCGUAAAGGGCAGGUAGGCGGAUAGAUAAGUUUGAUGUUAAAGGCGACGGCUUACCCGUCGUAAGGCAUUAGAUACUGUUUAUCUGGAAUGCGGUAGGGGAAGACAGAAUUCCUGGUGUAGCGGUGGAAUGCGCAGAGAUCAGGAGGAAUACCGAACGCGAAGGCAGUCUUCUAAGCCGUAAUUGACGCUAAACUGCGAAGGUGUGGGUAUCAAACAGGAUUAGAUACCCUGGUAGUGCACACAGUAAACGAUAAUCACUAGUGUCGGGUUCGAGAGGAUUCGGUGCCGUAGCUAACGCGCUAAGUGAUUCGCCUGGGAGUACGAUCGCAAGGUUGAAACUCAAGGAUUGACGGGGCCCGCACAGGCGGUAGAGCAUGUGGAUUAAUUCGAAGCACGCGAG